rnacentral:sRNA from 1 species
AGUUCGCGUAGCGGCUCGAGCGUGGAGAUGAAGCGUAUUUUCUCACUGCUAGAAAAGACUUGGCUUGGCGCACCAAUACAGUUUGCCUGGCAAAAAACAUCAGGAAACUACCUUGCAGUAACAGGAGCUGAUUAUAUUGUGAAAAUCUUUGAUCGCCAUGGUCAAAAAAGAAGUGAAAUUAACUUACCUGGUAACUGUGUUGCCAUGGAUUGGGAUAAAGAUGGAGAUGUCCUAGCAGUGAUUGCUGAGAAAUCUAGCUGCAUUUAUCUUUGGGAUGCCAACACGAAUAAGACCAGCCAGUUAGACAAUGGCAUGAGGGAUCAAAUGUCUUUCCUUCUUUGGUCAAAAGUUGGAAGUUUCCUGGCUGUUGGAACUGUUAAAGGAAAUUUGCUUAUUUAUAAUCAUCAGACAUCUCGAAAGAUUCCUGUCCUUGGUAGGUGAUAGCUGGAAACACUGCUAAAUAUUUGAGAUGCUCUACCUCAAUGUAAAUUCUGCCGCCUCAGGUUUCCCUGAUCUUGCAAUGGAAAUUUUGCAGUACAAACCCCCUCCCCAUGU